CUACGGGUCGCAGCAGUGGGGAAUAUUGGACAAUGGGGGAAACCCUGAUCCAGCAAUGCCGCGUGUGUGAAGAAGGCCUGCGGGUUGUAAAGCACUUUCGGUUGGGAGGACUGCUUCUAGCACUAAUAUUGUUGGAAGUUGACGUUACCUUCAGAAGAAGCACCGGCUAACUCCGUGCCAGCAGCCGCGGGUAAGACGGAGGGUGCAAGCGUUAAUCGGAAUUACUGGGCGUAAAGCGCGCGUAGGCGGCUAGAUCAGUCGGGUGUGAAAGCCCCGGGCUUAACCUGGGAACUGAAUACGGACUGUCUCGCUUGAGUACAGGAGAGGAGAGUGGAAUUCCACAUGUAGCGGUGAAAUGCGUAGAUAUGUGGAGGAACACCACUGGCGAAGGCAGCUCUCUGGCCUGAUACUGACGCUGAGGUGCGAAAGCGUGGGGAGCAAACAGGAUUAGAUACCCCCGUAGUC
rnacentral:rRNA from 1 species